CGGUCGCCCAUAGCUCAAGUAGAGCACUAGACUUGGGAUCUAGAUGUUGCGGGUUCAAGUCCCGCUGGAUCAA
rnacentral:tRNA from 1 species